UGACGGGGUUGCAAUCACUGACUGCAUGGGCUAUUUUUAGGCCAUCAAAAGGGGGAGGUAUUUUUCCAAUAGAUAUUUUUGGGUGAAAAAAAUCGAUGCAUUUUUGUUAGAUAUUCCUCUCUCGGCAUCCUGCGAGGGCAGUGGGUAGAAUAUUUCAUGACUGCUCCCAGUUGCAGAAGCGUGCUUUGCUCCUGAAUUAAUUUGAUACUAUUUUUGAAACUCAGUGUUUCUAAGGGAGACCUAAUGACGCAAUGACGUCAGUGCAGGUCAGGAACACACUGGAAGAGCCGAGCUGGUUGGUCAGGGCAGGGCUUUUUGCAAAAUACAACCCCCUUUCCCGCCCCCCACCACCAAAAAAAAAAUCCAGGCAUAUAAAGCACCACUGAGUAUGUUUGUAAUCCGAAAAAUAGAAUAGCUAACCUGGAGGGUUGGUCUGAAUCCGAUUAUUAUUUAUUUAUUUAUUUGCACUUGUCAACAUUUCAGUAGCUUGUACUAGAUACAAAUAUCCCUGAUUAUUUAUUAGUUUGCUCUCUCCUGAAUUUGGCACCGAGCACCAAAUAUUCUGCCACUGUUAAUUCAGAAUGCAGACUCACACGUGAAGUGCAGAGCUUCUGUCGCCUUGCGCAUAGAUUAUGAUAUCUGGUACACUUUCAGAAAUGUACAUAUAUACGUAUAUAAAUGGUUGUAUAGAAUUCGUGUCGUCAGAACAGGACACAGCUGCAGAUCUGAACCGAGUUGGUAAAAGGUCGACGCUUGAACCGUACCAGGGAAGUGGGGUGGACAUGAAGAACAAGCCCAGCUGAGGGUCCUUCAGUCAAAUUCUCAGUAUCACAGCAGCACUGCCCAUCCUGUUAGAGUCCAGGGAUAGAUCUACGCAAGAAGACCUCAGCAGAUUCAUAUCACAUAUUUGUGUCACUUGUUUCACUGGGAUUGGAAGAACAAUGCUGGCCUGCUCCUUCCUCACUGAGUGGACAGUUCUGCGGGGUUUAUUUUAAUCACAGUGUAAUUUUAAUUCUGGGUCUUGUCUGUGGAAAGCUGCACGAGCUGAUUCCGUGGGAGCCCAGGCAGAAUGCGUGGGCGCUGAAAAGUAGCAAGCCAGAGCCAAAGAUUCUUGUAAUUUGCGUCACUGCAGGAGACGGGGCUGUUUGCCUGACAAAUAGACAGAAUUAACCUCGCUUUAUCAAUAUCUGGCUGUAGUUCGAUUGAAAAGAGAGAGGGGGAAUGUGCUCCUGGCACAGGCUUGUUUCUGCAGUGUGUAAACCGUGCGAGGUACACCAGGCACAGCACACCCUAGAUUACAAUGCCCAUGCCUAGAGGCUAAUGCUAAUGUUUUGGCGCUGAAACAUAUUUUUAAAAAAAAUCCUCAUUCGGAUCACCCCCGAGACUCUUAAAGAGACUGUGAACGUGACGUCAAUGGAAUAAGACUGACGCGUACCAACUCACCAUUUCCACACAGGCUGGAGACGGUAGCUACAGAGUCCCUCAUUCCUUCCCCUUUAUCGCUCCAACCCCACUGCCCAAAGAGCCACCUUUUGCUCCUAAUUCCUCAAUUGCAGAGAAAACAGAAAUAAAAUUUUGUAAAGAAAGGCCUUGGGGUAAAAAAAAACACCCAAACAAUAAUGACUGGCGUGUUAGAAAGCUGGGGUUGUAUGUAUUUUUGUAAAGUGUUGCUUCCCAGAAGUGUUUUGCAAGGAAGCGCUGCAUAUUAUCCAAAUGUGCGAGAUGCAAAUAAAAUGAAAGGUGGACCGCUAAAUAUAUUUGAAAGCCGGGGGCACACGAUCGAAGCCCCAACACACCCAGACAGCUGGGGAGAUGUGUAAAUGAGACCGGAGAGUGUAGAAAGGUUUGAAAUCUCUGCAAUGAUGUAACUAAAAGCUAGCCAGAUACAAGUGGUGCAGAGAUGGUAAAGGAUCAAAAUCUCAGUGUUCAUUUCAUGGUUUGUACGUCACGUUGCAGCAAAAUGCCUUUGUGAGUAGUUUUUUUUGAGACCGCAAGCUAAAAAUAGCACGGGGUUUGAUCGCACUCCAGAAAUAGAAGGAGGGAUUUACUUGCAUAAAAAGAGAGCGCGGGUGGAGGAAAACCUGAUUUCGACUUCUAUAUUUGCAACUCAAUCAGAAAAUUAAUAGGAUACUUUUGUUUUGCCGAGGAGAGGAAUCCUAAGCGAUGGUAGGUUAUAUUUGUAUCUACAAUGAUGUGAAGCUUUACUAUGCAUUUUUAAAAAAUUGUCUCUGAAUAUGCUCACAAGUAGAUCGCAUUGCAUGUGUUUUUCUUUCUAAGAGAUACUCAUUGUGGAGAGUAGGCAGCAGGUGGAUGGAGGAUCACCCUGAAUCCUUAUAUAUCUGAAUCAAUAUCAGUUGGAACCCGCUCUCUGUCGGCGGUGCUGAGACUCUCAGCAAACGUGAUCCCGAGAAUGAGCCAGCUUUAACGUGGCACUGUCAUAACUUCGAGGGCAAAACAGAUUCUGGGACAAGACGGAUGGAGCUGUGAAAGUAAACACAACGUAAAAAUAUAAUCCGUCCUUCCUUCAUGCUGAAUUGUAAGUCGAUGCUUUAGAAUCGCUCUAUGUCCGCAAAACAAAUAUCAAUUCUCAAUAGUCAGUUCUCACUUCCACUUUUGACAAUCGAUUAUAUCACCCUUUCUGAUUGGCGCCUCCAAUGUUACUGGGUGUGAUGGUAGACGUAUCUGUUUGUUUGGGAGGAGGGGGCGAGCAGCAUCUGGAGAAAUACUGUACGGAAGACGGUAAUUGUAGCAACUUUGUAAACAGUUCUGAGCUCUUCUGAAGUUUUAAAAGCAAUAUUAACAUUUAAGGUGCACUGAAGACUUUCCUGCUAAGCUGUGGCAUUAUUCUGAUGUUUCGUUUACGUCAGUUAUAGGCAGACAUCGAAUGCAGCCUCUUAAACAUUGUACUCACUGACACACGCGUCUAUUUUUCAGCUCUU